UACGAAGGGUGCAAGCGUUACUCGGAAUUACUGGGCGUAAAGAGCUCGUAGGCGGUCUGUCACGUCGGCUGUGAAAUCCCGAGGCUCAACCUCGGGUCUGCAGUCGAUACGGGCAAACUAGAGUAUUGCAGGGGAGACUGGAAUUCCUGGUGUAGCGGUGAAAUGCGCAGAUAUCAGGAGGAACACCGGUGGCGAAGGCGGGUCUCUGGGCAAUAACUGACGCUGAGGAGCGAAAGCGUGGGGAGCGAACAGG
rnacentral:rRNA from 1 species